UUCAGAUAGUAAGCGCAAACACAUUAGUUUGGAAAACCAAACUCAUUCACGAGUGAAUAGAGUCAGGUCAUUCAUGAUUGGGAAGUUUUUUCAUCCUAGCAUAGUGACGGGCGUAGACAUAUUGCUUACUUUGAAAUCAUUGUGCAGCCUAAUCAAUCGCAUUGACCAGAGAUUCCUAACAUUAUUUCCGACUUCACCUAAUUUUCACAAACUGACAAUAAACAGAACAUUGGCAGUCAGGAAGCAGUGUAUGUGCGCCUACCUUUGCUGUAAAUAAUGACUAUUAAUGACAGGAACAACGCUAUUGUUUUUUCCAGCAAAUAUUACAGGGCCAGGUUUAACCUACUAGGCCGGAGGGAUUGGUUAAACUUAAAAUGGGAACCUGCCACCAUCCCUCACACGACGCAGGAAGAUGGAACUAGCUGUGUGGUCUUUGUCAUGGAGUUGAUGCAAAAAAUCUCAAACUCAAAUGUUAUGCAUAAUAUACAUACAUUUUCCCAGAUGAUUAGUUUUGAUCAACGUGACUGUCUUUUCCUUUAAGCUUUGGUACAGGCGGUAAGAUAAUUCACUAAAUGUGUUGUCCUUUUUGUUAAGAUGGCAAGACAAACUAUUGAAAGUUUUCCAGCAAUCCCAGAGGAAUUUCACAUCGAUCCAGAUCGGGACAACAUUGCACAGCUGAGAAGACAGAUGGCUGACGAGAUGAUUCUUGCAUCUGAGUCCAAGGAGGAUUUCCGCUCCCACUGUGGACUGGAAGUUCCUCUGUCGCUAAAUUCAUUCAAGCAAUAUUAUUUGGAUCCAAUGUGAAAAGUGCCAGAGAUGGUUUCACACAUCUUGUCUUGGACUAACACCCGACUGUGUGCCAGAUGAAGACAGCACUUGGUGUUGUGAAAUUUGUUGUAUUUGAGCUGUAAAUACUGUAAAUAGUUUGAAUUACAAGUUUUUGUUUCAUUUAUUUUCAAUUUAGCAUUUGUAGCAUAAGUUGGUAAUGUCAAUGGAUGAGAGAAGCUGGUUGCCCACUCUUUAUUUUCAAUUUCACUUCA